AGCGAACGCUGGCGGCGUGCUUAACACAUGCAAGUCGAGCGAAGGUGUUUCAAGGGUAACCUUGAGAUACACUUAGCGGCGGACGGGUGAGUAAUACGUGGAUAACUUACCUCUAGGCCUGGGAUAACCCCGGGAACUGGGGCUAAUACCUGAUAAGACCACAUUGUCUACGGACAAAGGGGUAAAAGGUGGCUGUGCAAACAGCUAUCGCCAAAAGAUAGGUUCACGUCCCAUCAGGCAGUGGUGAGGUAAUGGCUCACCAAACCAAAGACGGGUAGCCGGCCUUGGCGGGUGAACGGCCACACGGGGACUGAGACACGGCCCCGACUCCUACGGGAGGCAGCAGUGGGGAAUAGUUGGG
rnacentral:rRNA from 1 species